CUGGCGGCGUGCCUAAUACAUGCAAGUCGAACGGUCUUUCUAUGGAAGCUUGCUUCCACUGAGAAGAUAGUGGCGAACGGGUGAGUAACACGUGGGUAACCUGCCCAUAAGAGGGGGAUAACAUCCGGAAACGGGUGCUAAUACCGCAUAGUUUUCUUGAUCGCAUGAUCGGGAAAGGAAAGACGGCCUUUGUGCUGUCGCUUAUGGAUGGACCCGCGGCGUAUUAGUUAGUUGGUGAGGUAACGGCUCACCAAGACGAUGAUACGUAGCCGACCUGAGAGGGUGAUCGGCCACAUUGGGACUGAGACACGGCCCAAACUCCUACGGGAGGCAGCAGUAGGGAAUCUUCCGCAAUGGACGAAAGUCUGACGGAGCAACGCCGCGUGAGUGAAAGAAGGUUUUCGGAUCGUAAAACCCUGUUGUCAGAGAAGAACAAGUUGGAGAGUAACUGCUCCAGCCUUGACGGUAUCUGACCAGAAAGCCACGGCUAACUACGUGCCAGCCGCGGC
rnacentral:rRNA from 1 species